UCUGCAGCUUGAACUCUAAAAUGGUAAUUGAAAAAUGAUAAAUAAACACUGCAUCAGUUUGAACCUGUUGAAAAUAUACCUAAAUUUCAUUUUAAACAUUCUUAAGUAACGUAAGAGUGUACGACUCUUUAGCACACAUACGUAGACUAAAAUACCCUCUCAAAGAAGCAUCUUCAUGACACGGCAGCGAUCACGUGGAGAAAGACAAAAGAUCUUCGGCAUGCUUUCACAAAAUAAAUUGAAGUAGAUUAAAAAAUGGAUCGUUCGAAAAGUCAAAACUCUAACGAUGAACUUACAUGCCUUAGAAUUGUUCACUUUCGAUUAAGCCUGGUCGAUGGCGUGGAAAUACCUCAUCACUUUUCAAAAUCAAGCCGUGGCUAAA
rnacentral:lncRNA from 1 species